rnacentral:tRNA from 1 species
GCCUCCUUAGCUCAGCGGAUAGAGCGUCUGCCUCCGGAGCAGAAGGCCGCAGGUUCGAGUCCUGCAGGGGGCACCA